rnacentral:sRNA from 1 species
UGAGAGUAAUAUAUAU